ACCUACGGGGGGCAGCAGUCGGGAAUAUUGCGCAAUGGAGGAAACUCUGACGCAGUGACGCCGCGUAUAGGAAGAAGGUUUUCGGAUUGUAAGCUAUUGUCGUUAGGGAAGAGAAGGGACAGUACCUAAGGAGGAAGCUCCGGCUAACUACGUGCCAGCAGCCGCGGUAAUACGUAGGGAGCGAGCGUUAUCCGGAAUUAUUGGGUGUAAAGGGUGCGUAGACGGGAAAGCCAGUUAGUUGUGAAAUCCCUCGGCUUAACUGAGGAACUGCAACUAAAACUACUAUUCUUGAGUGCA
rnacentral:rRNA from 1 species